GCAGGGACUGAGUGACAAAGAGACCGUGUCUGUCUCUCUUUCAGUCUCUGCCUCUGGUGCAUGCACCUCCCAGCAGCUCUCUCCCUAUUUAAAGGCUGAUGUGGUGUUUAAAUGGAGAGGCGGUGACGUGGGGCUGGAAAGCACCUUCCCAUCCUGGCAGAGUCUAUAUUAGAGAGCGGCAAUGGCUCUAUAUAAACAGGGCAGCCACAGGGAGGAGGAACACAAGGAGCAGGGAGACAGAAAGGCAGGGGAAGCCAUGAUGGAUCUCACAGAGACACAAACAAGGGGGCCAAGCCUGCACCGUAACCGCCCGGACUCGGGGUUUGUCAGCAGCUUUUUGGGGGAGUAAGAUAUCAGCUAAAAUCAGCACUGCCUGUGGAAAACGGUGUCAGUAUUCAGCUCUACUGCUCUAUACGCAUAUACUCAUGCCUCUGAGGCCUUGUCUACACUACCCGCUGGAUCGGCAAGUAGUGAUCGAGCUAUUGGGGAUCGAUUUAUCAUGUCUAGAGUAGACGUGAUAAAUCGAUCCCUGAUUGCUCUCCUGUCAACUCCGAAACUACAUCACAGCGAGAGGCAGAAGUGGAGUCGACGGGGGAGCGGCCAUUGAUCCUGUGCCGCGAGGACGCAAACUGAUGCCAUUGUGGCCUUGAGGGUCUCCCCCUCCACACCCAUGGAACAUCUGAGGCAGAUAAGGAGGAGAAAGAAGAGGACUUGGGAUGACAUGUUCCAGGAGAUGCUGCAAGCCAGUGUUGCAUCAGAGAAUGACACCAGGGCCUGGAGGAUGACCCUUGCAGACAGCAUGCAGAAGGCAAGAGUGGAGAGAAGGAAGGCCAGGAAUCCAAGCUGGAAAAGAAGAGGGAGAUGCACCAGGACAUAAUGGGGCUUCUCAGGCAGCAAACAGAGAUGCUGCAGACUCUGGUAGACCUGCGCUCAAGCGUCCUGUGCUGGCCUCCCUCUGCAGCCCAUAGGCAACUCAAUGUCCGGACCUCCCUACGCCUCCCCUCAGCGUCCAUGUGCCAUUAAGAGCUGCUGCACUACCCUACCACUCCACCCCGAGGAACGUUAAAGACAAUCACAAGUGCACAUACACUGACCUGUGAAAGACAUGGUUGGUGUAUGUGUAUCUGAAAUGGAAAUGACUGUUCUUUCCCCUUCAUAAUUUCUGGUCCCUUAAUUUUUUAUGAUUUAUAAAGUGCUAAAUAGUUGUUUUAUUUUCCUGGCUCAUGUUACAGAAUACAAUUCUAUUUUUUGGAACAUAAGUCAUCUUUAUUAAUUCACAACAUAUGCUGACUGGUGCUGAGCAGGGCUGACAUCGACCAAUUUCCUGUUACUUUAUUUUAUCACAGAACACAUAACAUCAAUCUCAGACAGUAUUAACAGGUGCAUUGUCAGUGUUAUAUUCCUACACGUAGCACUCACUGCAAGAUUCAUACUGGGCUGCAAAAGAGCAAGGCUUGUUAGAGCACACUACAGCACCGCACACUACUCUGGCUCACUAUUAAAAUGUUCUUUCAAAGCCUCCCUGAGCUGUAUAGCUCCACAUUGAGCUCUUCGAAUAAACCUUGUGUCUGGCUGACAGCUGCUCCACCUCUGCCCUCCAUCCCAGCAAAACUUUCCCCCCUUUGCGUCACAGAUAUUAUGCAGAACACAGCAGGCAGAUAUAACCAUUGGGAUAUUUUUCUCAGUGAAGUCUAAUCUUGUGAGUAAACAAUGCCAAAGGCACAUUCAACUGUCAUGCUGCACCUGCUGAGCUGGUAGUUGAAUUGUUCCUUGGUGCUGUUGAGGUUGCCGGUGUACAGCUUCAUGAGCCAUGGGAGCUAGGGGUAUGCUGGGGGGAAAGAAAGUCCCUGCUGGUCAGGAAAGAAAGUCCCUGCUUGCAGAUUUCUGAACAUUCCUGGGUUCUUAAAGAUGUGCACGUCAUACACCUCCCCUGACCAGUCCACACUGAUGUCAGUAAUGUAUCCGUGGUGGUCCACCAGCACUUGUAUUACCAUGGAAAAGUAGCCCUUUCUGUUGAUAUACUCUGUGGCAAGAUGGUCUGGUGGUAAAAUAGGGAUAUGUGUACCAUCUAGCACCCCAUGUAGUUUAGGAACCCCAUUGCUGAAAAACCAUCCACUAUGCCCUGCACAUUGCCCAGAGUCACAAUCCUGCAUGGCAGCAGUCAAUUAAUGGGCUAGCACACUUCCAUGACAGCCACCCCUGCAGUGGAUUUCCCGACUCCAAAUUGAUUCUCGACUGUCCGGUAACAAUCUGGCAUUGCAAGUUUCCACAGUGCAAUCGCCACUCACUUUUCAGCUGUCAGUGUGGCUCUCAUUUUGGUGACCCUAUGCUGGAGGGUUGAGGGAUUUUGGCAUACAGAUCCAGGAAUAUGGCCUUGUUCAUUUGAAAGUUCUGCAGCCACUGCUUGUUAUCCCAAACCUGCAUCACACUGCAAUCCCACCAGUCAGUGCUUGCCUCUUGGGCCCAGAACUGGCACUCCACUGUCUACAGCUGCUCCAUGAAUGCUGCCAACAAGCUUGAAUUGUUUCUUUCUGUGGCUCACAGCAAUCAACCCUCCAAGAAAUUGUCAUGUUCCCUAUGGCUCCUCUUGCAGCUCUGCAACACUGCAGGAUCAGAUGCCCUGUGCUUGAAAUGCUCAUGACAAUAGUGCAGAGCUGUGCAGGCUCCAUGCUUCUGUCAGCAAUGAUGGACAGCAAGGAAGGACACACAGGUUUGUGGGGAUUUUGAAAAGAGGCAUCAAAUAUUAUGGGAUGCAGAUGAAAUUAUGGGGUGGAGAACACUGCAUUGUGGGAAGUUGAACUCAUGCUCCCAGUCACCCCUGCAUGGCUCAUUUCAGCCCCAGAAGGCAUUGUGUAAACUUCCCACAGCACCCUGUGCUAGAUGGUGGUGAGUUGCACAGUGGGAUAGUUACCCAUGGUGCACUGCAUUCUGCAUCGAUACAAGCGCUCCUAGUGAGGAUGCGCACCGCCGACACAAGAAGUGUAGCGUGCACGCACACAAGCAGUACAAUAAUUGGUGGCUGUAUGUCAACAUUUUUUAGGUUGACAUAAUUUUGGAGUGUAAACAUGGCAUAAGUCAGAGUCUCCCUCUUAAAUUAUCUUCAAUUUUAAUUUCCCUUUUUAAAAAAAGCUUUAUUUUCAGCGCUUUUACUGUCAUUUGCCAUCCUGCAAAAGUGAAGAAUGGACAAUAAAUCCAGAGGGUUUACAUAAACUAAGAGAAACCAAUACCAAACCACAGGAUCAGAUUACAAUGUUUAGAGAGCAUCAUCUUUCCACCAUAUAGUGAAGUUACCCAAUGAAGUCUGUGUGAUGUUUUGAGGAACAUGAUAUAUUCCCUUAACUCUGGAAACCACUGUUAGAUGCAUUAAGAAUAGCUAACAUAUUGAUUGCUCAUUUGGACAGCUGAAUAAAGUAGCUGCUGGCUGAAACAUCCUGGAGUAAUCAGUGAAGGCCAUUUAUCAGCAUGCUGUUCAGCUCAAAAUCCUUUCUCAGAUUGACUGAUGCAGGGUCUUGUGUGUGGUGAGAGUCUUAACUGCUUUUUAAAUGCAGUUAUUUUAUUACCUGGGUUUCUCAUUGCUGGGGUUCAUGGAUCACAGCCAAUGACGUUUUGUCUGUUGCCAUAACCCCAUCAUCAGUUGAACAGUGAUGAUUCAGAACAGUUGGAGGCUGAGUGUUUGACAAAUCUUCUGUCACUUAAACAGCACAAAGGCUGGGCAGUAUCGAAGGAAUGUGCUGUCAUGGAGUUGCUGCUGAUGGAGUAGGACACACAUUCACAGGCAGGCUCUUCACCAUCAGAAUUUUAGAAUUCUCCCCACCACUAUCCAGAAAUCACAUACAAUAAUUAGAACGAUUGUUUAUUUGUAUUAUGGUAACCCCUAGAGGAUCCAUUGUGUUAGCCACUGUACAUGUACACAAUGAAAAGAUGGUCACUGGCCCAAAAAGCAGGUCCUUCUUGCAUUUUAGUUUGCAUAAUGACAGGUGGUGUCUACAUCUGAGUGGUGGAUCAAUUGAUUCUUGUUCAGAUAGGGGAAAAUCCUAAAGUUAUACUCAGAGUUUGACAGACUUUGACAGUCUAUACUUCAGCAAAAUUCCCAGUGACUCCUAUUUUGCCUGAGUAAAAAUGGAGUAAGGAUUUCAGGGCCCCAUUCUGACACCCUUACUCAUUCAGUCCCACUGAAAUCAACAGGCCUACUCAUCUGAGUAAAGAUGAACAUGCAGGGAACUCCAGUUUAGGCCUUGGCUUGAUGAGGGUUUAAAGUGUGAUGUUAGCACAUUUUAGCCAACAUGUAUGAACUAACAGUAGUUUGCAGUGUUGUUGUAGUUGUGUUGGUCCCAGAAUAUGAAAGAAACAAGGUGGGUGAGGUAAUAUCUUUUAUUGGACCAACUUCUAUUGGUGUAAGGGACAAGCUUUCGAGCUACACAGAGCUCUUCUUCAGGUCUCAGGAAGGAAGCAGCGUCUGAGCAGCUGAGCUAAAUACAAAUUGGGACAGAUUGUUAAACAGACGGGGCAAUGCAUGUAACCCUCAAUUGCCCACUUCAUUUUGAGUGAUCACCUCCAACAUGUUUAGCAUAUCUGGCCCAUAAAUACCUUGCAAUGCCAGCUACAAAAGUGCCUGGCGAAUGCCUGUCUUUCAGGUGACAUUGUAAAUAAGAAGCAGGCAGCAUUAUCUCCCAUAAAUCAUAAUGGAAACAAACUUGUUUGUUUUGGUGUUUGGCUGAACAAGAAGUAGGGUGGAGUAGACUUGUAGGCUCUAAAAUUUUUACAUUGUUUUGUUUCUGAGUGCAGUUAUAUAACAAAAAAAAGUUGUAAGUUGACUUUCACGAUAAAAAGAUCGCACUACAGUACUUGUGAUUGAAAAAUACAACUUUUUAUUUAUCUUUUUCCAGUGUAAAUAUUUUAAUCAAAAAUAAUAUCAAGUAAGCACUGUAAACUUUGUAUUCUGUGUUGUAAUUGAAAUCAAUAUAUUUGAAAAUUGUAGAAAAACAUCCAAAAUAUUUAUAAUAAAUUUCAAUUGGUAUUCUGUUAUUGUUUAACAGUGCAAUUAAAACUGUGAUUAAUCACAAUUAAUUUUUUUAAUCACUUGACAGUUCUACUAUAAACUUAGUUUGAUGGAAGCUGCCUUAUGUUGAUCUAAUAAUGUUUGCAUCUACAGUAUCGCUGCCCUAACUCACCUGUUACGUUGACUUAGUUACUCCACGUCUGCGAGAAGUGUAGAGCUUAAUUCAAUGUUGACGGGCUGACAGAGAGGCAAUAUAGAUGCAGCGUUGUAUAAGUCGACUGAAGUGUCACACAAUACUCCACUGUGAGCACUCUGAUGAUUGUUUUCAACUCCGCUGCACAGCAGCCAGGUACACAAGAAAUAGCCCCUCUGCUGUAAAAGCCCUGGGAACUUUUCAAUUCCCAUUUCCUGUUUCAUCAGUGUGGAGAGCUCACCAGCCCAGCUGAUCAUCAGAUCAAAAGAAAUCUGAUGAGGUUCAAUAAGGAUAAGUGCAGGGUCCUGCACUUAGGAUGGAAGAAUCCAAUGCACCGCUACAGACUAGGGACCGAAUGGCUAGGCAGCAGUUCUGCGGAAAAGGACCUAGGGGUGACAGUGGACGAGAAGCUGGAUAUGAGUCAGCAGUGUGCCCUUGUUGCCAAGAAG